rnacentral:rRNA from 1 species
UAGGGAAUCUUACGCAAUGGGCGAAAGCCUGACGCAGCCAUGCCGCGUGAAUGAUGAAGGUCUUAGGAUUGUAAAAUUCUUUCACCGGGGACGAUAAUGAUGGUACCCGGAGAAGAAGCCCCGGCUAACUUCGUGCCAGCAGCCGCGGUAAUACGAAGGGGGCUAGCGUUGCUCGGAAUUACUGGGCGUAAAGGGCGCGUAGGCGGACAGUUUAGUCAGAGGUGAAAGCCCAGGGCUCAACCUUGGAAUUGCCUUGAUACUGGCUGUCUUGAGUGCGGGAGAGGUGUGUGGAACUCCGAGUGUAGGGGUGAAUUCUNGUAGAUAUUCGGAAGAACACCAGUGGCGAAGGCGACACACUGGCCCGUUACUGACGCUGAGGCGCGAAAGCGUGGGGAGCAAACAGGAUUAGAUNCCCUGGUAGUCCACGCCGUAAACGAUGAAUGCUAGUUGUCGGCAUGCAUGCAUGUCGGUGACGCAGCUAACGCAUUAAGCUUCCGCCUGGGGGGAGUACGGUCGCAAGAUUAAAGCUCAAAUGAAUUGACGGGGUCAUAGCU